CAUAUGUGAUCACUUCUCUUUUGAGUCUAACACAUGCAAUCUCUUCUCUUUUAUACAGCCUCGGGUUCAAAUAAUCCCACUACCGUGUCACCGGCGGCUGAUCACAUCAACUCUUCGCCACAAUUCGGUCCUUCACCGCAGUCUGGGUGGCCACCGCUGCAGUCUCCGCCACCGCCGCAAUAGAGAUGUUGAACUUUGUGAUGUUGAGCUUGUAAUAAUAAACUUGUGAUGUUAAACUUUGUUCGAUUUGUGAUGGAUUUAUAAAAUAUAUGUGCGAUUGUUAUAUAUAAUGCAUGUUGGUGAUAUAGUUGCG
rnacentral:lncRNA from 1 species